AGUACAAAUCUGGAGGCCUUGUCUCCGCCGACCGAGACCCGCGGCGUGGGCAGGGCGUGGCUGCAGUCAGGGUUCGGUGUCCGCCCUUCUUUUUCCCGCAUCUGUAUCUUUUCGCUUUAGUCGGAAAUCAUCGCGUAUCGUUUUCAUCUGAACAGCUAGGAAAGCUUUGGGACAAGUGACAGGGCCUUUUCCGGCAUCUGCCUGCUCCUUUCUAUUUUGUGAGCUCGAAAUUUGGGCGGUGGUGUUGGAAAUGGGAAGAAAGGUGGAAAAGAAGGAUGCUGGUUUUCUUAACCUCUUUCGGGAGCCUUCUUGGAUGAGCCUAAGCGGCGGCUAACGUACCGAACUCAGUACUCUCCGAACAUUGCCACAAAUAGAAAAUAAGCAUCAGGAUGCUGGAAUCUUAGGUUUUGUACAUUGCUGUUUUCAAGAGGGUAAAAAACAAUAGCUGGCACAACAAAGCUGUUGAGUGAUUUUCCCAAAACCACUCAGCAAGGAUGGGCUUGAACAUGGAAUCAGACACUGGUCCCCUGGCUCCAAAUCUGUAGGUGUCUCACUUGGGAUAAAAGAAUGAAGUCACUCCCAAUUUCUGGCAAAUUCCCUAAAGAAGAAAGAAUUGUAAUUCUGGGCCUCAUUCUCUGCAUAUUACAGAUAAAUUUAGUUUUGAGCAUUUCUUAGACUAUUUUUGCAUCCUUCUUAUGCGCUCAUUUGGGAUAGUUUAGAAAUAGCAUGUUUUAGAGAGGACUUUUAAUCAUUUACUGAUUUUGAAGAUGUACUUCUGAAGAGAGCUCUCACAAUUCCAGAAGCCAAUCUGAUGUUUGCCAAGUAAUAGCAUUUUUGCUUUCUGUCCCUUGCAUGAACCUUUAUAUCCCUGGAAAUAUCCAACUGCCAACAUAAGGCUUUGUAUUUUAAGGCAGGGGCAGGGAGUCUCUUAACAUGUCCAGUUUCUUCUUUGCCCAGAAAGGUGUUGACUUAAAACAUGAUAACACAAGUUUUAACUAAACACUGACUCAUCAAGCAGGAUCUUCAAAGAAGU